GACGAACGCUGGCGGCGUGCCUAAUACAUGCAAGUCGAGCGGACCGAUGGGAGCUUGCUCCUUUAGGUUAGCGGCGGACGGGUGAGUAACACGUGGGCAACCUGCCCUGCAGACUGGGAUAACUUCGGGAAACCGGAGCUAAUACCGGAUAACACCGAAAACCGCAUGGUUUUCGGUUGAAAGGCGGUUUUGCUGUCACUUAUAGAUGGACCCGCGGCGUAUUAGCUAGUUGGUAAGGUAACGGCUUACCAAGGCAACGAUACGUAGCCGACCUGAGAGGGUGAUCGGCCACACUGGAACUGAGACACGGUCCAG
rnacentral:rRNA from 1 species